UUAGGUUUGAUCCUGGCUCAGGAUGAACGCUAGCGGCAGGCCUAACACAUGCAAGUCGAACGGUAACAGGGAGAAGCUUGCUUUUCCGCUGACGAGUGGCGCACGGGUGCGUAACGCGUAUACAAUCUACCUUUUGCUGUGGGAUAGCCCAGGGAAACUUGGAUUAAUACCGCAUAGUAUAUAAGAGAUCGGCAUCGUUUUUAUAUUAAAGGUUACGGCAAAAGAUGAGUAUGCGUCCUAUUAGCUAGAUGGUGUGGUAACGGCACACCAUGGCGACGAUAGGUAGGGGCCCUGAGAGGGGGAUCCCCCACACUGGUACUGAGACACGGACCAGACUCCUACGGGAGGCAGCAGUGAGGAAUAUUGGACAAUGGUCGAGAGACUGAUCCAGCCAUGCCGCGUGCAGGAAGACGGCCCUAUGGGUUGUAAACUGCUUUUGUACGGGAAGAAUAAUGCCCACGUGUGGGCAGAUGACGGUACCGUACGAAUAAGGACCGGCUAACUCCGUGCCAGCAGCCGCGGUAAUACGGAGGGUCCAAGCGUUAUCCGGAAUCAUUGGGUUUAAAGGGUCCGUAGGCGGAUCAGUAAGUCAGGGGUGAAAGUUUGCGGCUCAACCGUAAAAUUGCCUUUGAUACUGCUGGUCUUGAGUUACGGUGAAGUGGCCGGAAUAUGUGGUGUAGCGGUGAAAUGCAUAGAUAUCACAUAGAACACCGAUUGCGAAGGCAGGUCACUAACCGUAUACUGACGCUGAUGGACGAAAGCGUGGGGAGCGAACAGGAUUAGAUACCCUGGUAGUCCACGCCGUAAACGAUGGAUACUAGCUGUCCGGGUAAGUUCUGGGCGGCCAAGCGAAAGUGAUAAGUGUCCCACCUGGGGAGUACGUUCGCAAGAAUGAAACUCAAAGGAAUUGACGGGGGCCCGCACAAGCGGUGGAGCAUGUGGUUUAAUUCGAUGAUACGCGAGGAACCUUACCAGGGCUUAAAUGUAGUGGGACAGGCUUAGAGAUAGGCUUUUCUUCGGACUCAUUACAAGGUGCUGCAUGGUUGUCGUCAGCUCGUGCCGUGAGGUGUCAGGUUAAGUCCUAUAACGAGCGCAACCCUUACCGUUAGUUGCCAGCGAGUCAAGUCGGGGACUCUAACGGGACUGCCGGUGCAAACCGUGAGGAAGGUGGGGAUGACGUCAAAUCAUCACGGCCCUUACGUCCUGGGCUACACACGUGCUACAAUGGCCGGUACAAUGAGCAGCCACUGCGUAAGCAGGAGCGAAUCUAUAAAACCGGUCACAGUUCGGAUCGGGGUCUGCAACCCGACCCCGUGAAGCUGGAAUCGCUAGUAAUCGGAUAUCAGCCAUGAUCCGGUGAAUACGUUCCCGGGCCUUGUACACACCGCCCGUCAAGCCAUGGAAGCUGGGAGUGCCUGAAGUCCGUCACCGCAAGGAGCGGCCUAGGGUAAAAUCGGUAACUAGGGCUAAGUCGUAACAAGGUAAAGGGCGAAUUCGUU
rnacentral:rRNA from 1 species